CCAUUUUCUGCAGCACUGUGCUUGUACGGGCGGAGAAGGCGAUGGCACCCCACUCCAGUACUCUUGCCUGGAAAAUCCCAUGGAUGGAGGAGCCUGGUAGGCUGCAGUCCAUGGGGUAGCUAAGAGUCGGACACGACUGAGCGACUUCACUUUCACUUUUCACUUUCAUGCAUUGGAGAAGGAAAUGGCAGCCCACUCCAGUAUUCUUACCUGCAUAAUCCCAGGAACGGGGGAGCCUGGUGGGCUGCCGUCUCUGGGGUCGCACAGAGUCGGACACGACUGAAGCGACUUAGCAGCAGCAGCAGCAGCAGUGCUUGUGCGGGAGGUAUUUACUAACACCUUGAAAAUAGUAGGGGAAGAUAAUUUGGGGUAGUUUGAACUGAUUUGUAAGCCACCUAGACUUUCUGUGGAGUGGAAUCUGAAGACGAAAACAAGCUUUCUCUAAUUUCAGAAAAAAAUAUUAUAAAUUAAAAGUUCAGUCUCUUUUCUAGGCGUUUCUGUUGAAGAAGGAAAAAGAGUCAUACUGAAUCCAUUCGCUUCAGACUGGGACUUGAACUCAUAUGUCCGGGCCUUGAACCUGGCCACAUCCCAUGAUCUUCCAACUGAGAUUACACACCCAGUCUCAGGACUUAAUGAAGCUCAGAUUCUUGAUGUCACACUACAGAAAGGAUUCAAUGAGAGACAAAGUGAUAAGUCAGAAGUGGAUUUAUUUAGAGAGAUAUACAUUCCACAGAGUAUGGGCCAUCGCAGAGGGCAAAUACAGACUUGAAAUGUGGUACGGUUAGCUUUUAUCGGCUGGAUAAUUUCAUAAGGUGCAAAUAAGAGCCAGUCUCCUCAAUCACCAACCGUGUUCUGUGUUAAAGUUUCAUAUGCCUCAGAGUGCUCUACUCCUCACACUCAUCCUGAGAGGUGACCAUUGUAGAUGCCGUUUCAGAUGCAUUCAUUCCUGUAUUGUUGCAAACUUGAAUUUUCUGAGAUACAUCAGACUCCACAAGGAUUUAAAAAUUCCCUGACCCUCUUCAACAAGAUUUUGGCUAAAGAUUUGAAAGGAUCAAGGUUGAAUAGAAGACUUUUCAGCCAAAAUGGAAAAAGCAUCCCAAGUGACAAAAGCCCUUCUUAAAGACAGUGUUAAGAAAACUCUCACCAAGCUAUGCUGGAAAACUCAUCUAAAAUUACUAUCAGGGAAGCCUAAAAUGGAAAAAAGUCUUACAAAUUGCUCUGCAUAUACCAGUGGCCCCAGAAACGGACUAGGAAUGAGCCCUUAUGAAAGGAUAUAUAGGAGACCAUGCUUAGCUCCUGAGCUUCCGCAAUGGCUUAGCGGUAAAGAAUCUGCCUGCGAUGCAGGAGCUGCAGGAGACAUGGGUGGGG
ensembl:lncRNA